rnacentral:tRNA from 1 species
AGGGCCUAUAGCUCAGUUGGUUAGAGCACACGCCUGAUAAGCGUGAGGUCGGUGGUUCAAGUCCAUUUAGGCCC